rnacentral:rRNA from 1 species
UGGGGAAUUUUGGACAAUGGGGGAAACCCUGAUCCAGCCAUCCCGCGUGUGCGAUGAAGGCCUUCGGGUUGUAAAGCACUUUUGUCCGGAAAGAAAUGGCUCUGGUUAAUACCUGGGGUCGAUGACGGUACCGGAAGAAUAAGGACCGGCUAACUACGUGCCAGCAGCCGCGGUAAUACGUAGGGUCCAAGCGUUAAUCGGAAUUACUGGGCGUAAAGCGUGCGCAGGCGGUUGUGCAAGACCGAUGUGAAAUCCCCGAGCUUAACUUGGGAAUUGCAUUGGUGACUGCACGGCUAGAGUGUGUCAGAGGGGGGUUAGAAUUCCACGUGUAGCAGUGAAAUGCGUAGAGAUGUGGAGGAAUACCGAUGGCGAAGGCAGCCCCCUGGGAUAACACUGACGCUCAUGCACGAAAGCGUGGGGAGCAAACAGGAUUAGAUACCCUGGUAGUCCACGCCCUAAAGCGAUGUCAACUAGUUGUUGGGGAUUCAUUUCCUUAGUAACGUAGCUAACGCGUGAAG